GCGGAGACAAAAAAAGUACUUUUUAUUUUAUCACAAGGGUAAAGAAAUAUUUUUGCCUUUUUGGACCCGCUGGCUCGGCUUCUCGAUCCUUCCACUAAUUGGCUUCUUAUUAGUCCUCGCCUGGUCUCUUCUACUACAACAAUCAACGAUCAACUCUCUCUGCGAUCUGAGCCGUUGUCUGCUUCUUCGACGUUUAAGGUGAGUUUCCUCUUGCAUCCCUCUUCUCUUUCUGAUUUUCUUUCCUCAUUUUAAGAAAAAAAGAGUUGUAAAAUUAUUUACUGAUGGAUCAUUAUUGUGUGAAGUACCAGGAUUUCUAUCUUACCGGUCUUGUUUCAGCAUCUGGAUAAUCAACAAUGACUCAUAUCCUUGGAUCGAUCUGUUUGUUUCCUCUCCUCUGCAAAUUUAUUUUUUAAUUUAAUUUAAUUUAAUUUAAUCCCCACUCCAUGCACUCCACGUGUCCCUGCAUGUGGAAACAAGGCAAGCAAAUGACAAUCUUGGGGAGCUGGCUAACCUGGUCUGUAUGUUACAGAAUCUGUCCUCAUCCCUGUUCAUAAUAGGCAAAAUU
rnacentral:lncRNA from 1 species